rnacentral:rRNA from 1 species
UGGUUGAUCCUGCCAGUAGUCAUAUGCUUGUCUAAAAGAUUAAGCCAUGCAUGUCUAAGUUUAAGUAACUUUAAAGCGAAACUGCAGAUGGCUCAUUAAAUCAGUCAUUGUUGACGCGGCCUUUUUAGCUUAUAGGAUAACCGUGGUAAUUCUAGGGCUAAUACUUAGUGUGCGUGCACUGGGUUUAUGGGUGUUCAUACCAGCGCCUUCGGGCCAGUUUGAAUAACUGUAAUCAUCUGAUCGCAUGGCUUCGUGCCGGCGGCAUGCUGCUCAAAUGUCUGCCCUAUCAGCUGACGAUGGUAGCUUAGUAGGCUACCAUGGCUUUUACGGGUAACGGGGAACAAGGGUUCGGUUCCGGAGAGGGGGCCUGAGAGAUGGCCACCACUUCUAAGGAAGGCAGCAGGCGCGCAAAUUACCCAAUAGCAAUACGCUGAGGUAGUGACAAGAAAUACCAAUAUGGAUCCCCGCAAGGGGUCUGUAAUUGGAAUGAAUACAAUUUAAAACUCUUAAUGAGUACCAAUUGGAGGACAAGUCUGGUGCCAGCACCCGCGGUAAUUCCAGCUCCAAUAGCGUAUAUUAAAGUUGUUGCAGUUAAAACGCUCGUAGUCGAAAUCAGAUUCUUGCAUUGUUGGUCUACAGGAAGGUGUGUACUGAUUCGCGGGUUUCUCCGUUCUGUCGAGCUUCUGGCCUUAACUGGCUGGGAGGGAUACGGAACCAAUUACCUUGAAUAAAUUAGAGUGUUUCAAGCAGGCAUUAUAGUCGGGAUACAUUAGCAUGGGAUAACAGAAUAGGGCAUUUGCUCUUCUUGUUGGUAUGGGAGUAUUUGUAAUGAUUAACAGGGGCGAUCGGGGGCAUCCAUAUUUCAUUGUCAGAGGUGAAAUUCUUAGAUUGAUGAAAGAUGAACUACUGCGAAAGCAUUUGCCUGGGACGCUUCCAUUGAUCAAGAACGAAAGUUAGGGGAUCGAAGACGAUCAGAUACCGUCGUAGUCCUAACUGUAAAUGUUGUCGACCAGAAAUCGCGGAACGUUACUUGGAUGACUUCUGCAGCAUCUCCAGGGAAACCAGAGUUUUUGGAUUCCGGGGGGAGUAUGGUCGCAAGGCUGAAACUUAAAGGAAUUGACGGAAGGGCACACCAGGAGUGGAGCCUGCGGCUUAAUUUGACCCAACACGGGAAAACUCACCGAGUCCAGACACAAUAAGGAUUGGCAGACUAAUAGCUCUUUCUUGAUUUUGUGGGUGGUGGUGCAUGGCCGUUUUUAGUCGGUGGAGUGAUUUGUCUGGUUAAUUCCGUUAACGAACGAGACCUCGAUUUCUAAAUAGUUUUGCGAAACUCUGCCUGGUGAAGAGGGGGGGCGUGGUAGGAGCCUAAAAACUUCUGCUGCCUCCUUCGUGGAUCCUUGAUGUUUUUGUGGGAGCUUCUUAGGAAGACUACUGG